rnacentral:rRNA from 1 species
ACCAGUAGCUAUAUCACCCUGCAGCUCUCAACUGGCAGCCUACUGAAGCGAAGCAGGGUUGAGCCUGGACAGUACCUGGAUGGGACACCUCCUGGCAAGCUAUGGUUGCUGCUGGAA